CAGCCGUAAACUAUGCUCGCUAGGUGUCAGGGACGGUGCGACCGUUUCUGGUGCCGCAGGGAAGCCGUGAAGCGAGCCACCUGGGAAGUACGGUCGCAAGGCUGAAACUUAAAGGAAUUGGCGGGGGAGCACUACAACGGGUGGAGCCUGCGGUUUAAUUGGACUCAACGCCGGAAAACUCACCGGGGGCGACAGCAGAAUGAUUGCCGGGCUGAAGACCCUGCAUGACUAGCUGAGAGGAGGUGCAUGGCGUAGACGUCU
rnacentral:rRNA from 1 species